ACUAUUGUUUACCGUUUACACAUUAUUGUCGUUCUGAAAACUUAGAACAUAGUUCAUACCGGAAACCCAGCUCGUCCUUUCGCAGUGACAUUUUCAAACACAGAAUGCUGCUCUCAAAAAUCUUCCAAAUAAAUGUCAUGCAGUAAAAACCAUGGACCUUGUUGUUAUAGUCAUUGGCUGGCAAUGGCUGUUUUGAUAACACUCCUGAAAUACUGAACUUAACCAUAACUGUUGUAUUACACGGUUAAACAUAUUUUGAUGUGCUGUUUAAGGCUACUAAUUGUGCAAAAAAAUGGGAUUAUUGUAGGACGACUAUAGAGCAAAACUUAGUCACUAAUUAGUAUUUUCAAAUCAUUCUGGGUUUUGUAGGCCCUUAUUUUAAAUUAAAAAAGUAUUUAAAUAGUAUUCAAAGUCAAGCAUAAAUCAUAAUAUUAUGUCUUAAAUUUAAUUUUAAGAUAUGAUAACAUAUAAAUAAUAACCCCUAUAAUUUAACUAACAAAAAGUUCACAUUUAUACUAAUAUCAAAAUAAAAAA